CAAUAGACAGCAAUGAUUCUGUUAGUGACUGAAAAUCAUCCUAUGCAAUAACCCUCCUCUCUCUUGCCUCCCUCCUACCGGCCACCAAGGUUCUCACAGAGACCAGGAUGAUAAGUAUUUCACAGAAGUCACUGACAAUUGGGCCUUGGCUGAUAAAGAUACAAUGUUCACCAUUGGAUUCAUGAACCUGGCAAUGUAUAUGUCACUGACCUCCAGCAGAAGGAACAGCUGGAUGUUUAGCUCAGUAGAGCUGUGUCUGUCUCCCAAGCACAAGGUGGUAAUUUUUCCAGGUAAUCUCCUCCACUCUGAUUUGGGGCUCAGUUAUGUAACAUGUGUUAGAAAAUACAAUCCAACUAAUGCGUAGUCCACAGACUGAAAGGUAAGUUUUUGUUGGCAGUAUUUCACUUCCUUUAAAAGCCUGCUGAAGGAUGGAAGCAGAUUGACUAGAGAUGAAUCGCCCAGCCCAGGUCAUCCGAGAUCAACCAAGUGAUAGAAGAUCUUCUAAAUGUGUUGUAAC